rnacentral:rRNA from 1 species
CCGGGCGACCGGCGCACGGGUGAGUAACACGUAUGCAACCUGGCCGUGACAGAUGGAUAACCGGGAGAAAUCCCGCCUAAUACAACAUAAUGCCGGGAGGGGACAUCCCCUGCCGGUCAAAGGGGGCGACCCCGGUCAUGGAUGGGCAUGCGGCGCAUUAGGUAGUUGGUGGGGCAACGGCCCACCAAGCCGACGAUGCGUAGGGGUUCUGAGAGGAAGGUCCCCCACACUGGUACUGAGACACGGACCAGACUCCUACGGGAGGCAGCAG